ACCCAAGGCAGGAAGGAAGAAUAAAAAGGUCCGUCCAGAAGCUUUUCAGAAGUACAAAGCCCCCCUAAUCUUGCGGCCUAAUUGGUGCCUGUGCUCUGUCAAAGCCAUCUGACGGUCCUACAGAGAUUAAACAGCCCUACUCUCCAAGCUCCAAGAGCCAGGGUCUUCCCUUCUUUAUUUAUUCUCUGUUCCUUUCUUCUCCGUCCUCUGCCACCAGCAGCAGAGACUCCUCCCUUCCUCUCAUACACCCAGGGUCAGUAUGCCCAGGCAGAGCCCCCAACCAGAGACGAGUUUUAAAUAGAAAGAGAUGGAGGCAGGAGGCAGCAAAUGAGCUAUGAGCCUGAACAAAAUAAGGGGAAGUAGCUAUAAUCAGUCUCAGUUUGAACAGCAUUUAAGACAAGUUAGCAACUAACUGGUGGAGCAGUUGCCAUUAGUUCAUGUGGACAAAACCUGGCAGAUGUUGACAUUAUAAAUGCCAAUGUUGUACUCCGUCACCCAAUAUUGUGGUUUAGGUGUGUUGACCGUAGUAAAGGAGGACUGAGAAAAAUAAAUGGAUUAAGACAUUUCUCAAUCAUUGCAGUUGAUGUCAUCAAGUUGCAGGUACAAACACCCCCCUCCUCCGGGCUGAGUCACUGACCACUACUGAACACUAGGCGACCGCAAACAAGUCACAGGAAUCUGUUACAACAUCACCUGCUUAUGCUUCUCUGAAGUCGAUAUCACAACGCCUGUACGUGCAAUUUUUCACGGCUGAGUCAAAUGUUCACUGACGCUGAGGUGGUAAAUUCUCCACGAGGUGGGACGGCGGACAGCCGAGCCGGAGACAUGUGAGCGAAUCAGAUGCCAUAUUUAGACAAUAGCCCAGAAAGGUGAGCUCUCCUAACUAUCAAGUCGUGCCGUUCGCAUUCCUGAUGAAACGAAAGCAGCUGAAAAAAAAUGCGUUGCCUUAGCCAAGACAAACGAGAGCAUCACAGGGCUAAGAAAGGCUUUGCAAGUGAACAAAAAAAAAAAUAUAAAAAAAAAUUAAAAAAAACAGCAAAUGGAAAAAAUUCUUAUAAACCUAGAAAAGCUUGUGAUCUCACACGCAGAGCACAGAUACCUGAAGAUAUGGGGCCCAACAGAGAUGCGGAUGUGAGCAGCAGAGAUUUUUCUAAUACUGAACAUUCCUACCAAUGAGAUGGGUGAUUAAUAACUGGGGACGAGGUCGGCCCGACUUUCACUAUCCGGCCUUUCUGGGGCAGGAUCAGAGAAAGAGGAGCAGCGUGAAGGUGAAGGUGCGGGACAGCUGAGAGGAAGACACGCGUGACUCAUACUACGAGUGCGUGUGUGCGUGCGACACCACAUGUGUCAUGUGAGUCGUGUGUCGCGUGUCCCCCGUGCAUGCCUGCUCUCAGAUCUGCCCGGAUUAGCGAGGGGGUCCGGGGGAGCAUGACUGUAGAUGAAAAUGUUGCAUGCGCACACACAAGCACACGCACACACAAGCACACACACACACGGCCCCACCUUCAUCGCCUCUCCUCGACAGCUGAGAACACAAACGGCGGGCCCCGCGGUGGCCCUCGCCUUAGCUUGGCACAUCCAGUGCCACGUGGCACCUGCUUAUGCACCGUUGUUUCCACACAUCCUGCAAAUCUCCCCCCGCAUACAUUUAUGGACUUCCUAACGCAGGCAUGUCCGCUCCAAGGUUGUGUCAUCGAUGAGCAGCACCGCAGCCGCUCAGCUGUAAUGAGGCUGUACUUGUUUCAAGGAAGAUGAUGGGAGUCUCCUGGGGUUUGAAUGAUCACUUGACCAACUGCGUUUCUGAGCCUUCAGACUCUCACCAAGCGCCUCCAGAUGAGGAAAUCUGAGAGCCCCACGGAAAGCACACCACAUCCAGCCCAUCAGACUAAUGUAAGAAAGUCCAGAUCAGUUUGUGUGACCUAUUUCUGUUUUUACAGUAUUUGAACACCUGAUAGAUUACCAUAAGUGUACACAGUGUUUCAUAACGUCAUCCUCCUCUGCACAGUGACACAUGAUGGAAGAGGAGUGGUUUUUCCCAGAUUACAAGUACACUCUCAGAAGAAGUGCUCCAAUUUCAUAACACAUCAGUACCAUUUUGACGUGCAUACAGGAAGAAAGAGGAUUUAAUUAAUCCAAACACGAUUUGUAUUACUUCUGGCAGUAUGUGGCCAUGCAAAUGGAAGGGUGUUGACUCAAACUACUGUGGACAGCGCUGCACUUUAUGUCACAUUUCCUUUGUCACGUUUCCUUUGUCUUUUCUUUCUUUGUCUCUACCACAUAGAGCGGAGUGCCAUACAAACAAUCUCAGAUACUGCCCUAGGGUCCAUGUGUCUGCACACAGGAGCUCCAAGUGAAAGCAACUGCCACAGAAAAGUAACUCAGGAACAAACAUGCUCACAGGAAAUACUAUAACUUCUUUUUUUUAAAGUAGUCCAUGCAUUCCAGACAAAGGUAUGUUUCAACAUGCAGCGAAAAUAACUCAUUUUCCUACUGAAGGACUGGAUGCAGACUCUUUUUUUUUUUUUCCAGCGCAGCAGAACAAUUACGAGCAA